rnacentral:rRNA from 1 species
GAUGAACGCUAGCGGCAGGCUUAAUACAUGCAAGUCGUGGGGCAGCAGGGCUGUAGCAAUACAGUCGCUGGCGACCGGCAAACGGGUGCGGAACACGUACACAACCUUCCUUUAAGUGGGGAAUAGCCCCGGGGGAAACCCGGAUUAAUACCCCGUAUCAUAAUAGAGUGGCAUCGCUUUAUUAUUAAAGCUCCGGCGCUUGAAGAUGGGGUGUGCGGCUGAUUAGGUAGUUGGCGGGGUAACGGCCCACCAAGCCUACGAUCAGUAACUGGUGUGAGAGCACGACCAGUCACACGGGCACUGAGACACGGGCCCGACUCCUACGGGUGGCUG